rnacentral:rRNA from 1 species
GACGAACGCUGGCGGCGUACCUAAUACAUGCAAGUAGAACGCACAGUUUAUACCGUAGCUUGCUACACCAUAGACUGUGAGUUGCGAACGGGUGAGUAACGCGUAGGUAACCUGCCUGGUAGCGGGGGAUAACUAUUGGAAACGAUAGCUAAUACCGCAUAAUAUUAAUUAUUGCAUGAUAAUUAAUUGAAAGGUGCAAUUGCACCACUACCAGAUGGACCUGCGUUGUAUUAGCUAGUAGGUGAGGUAACGGCUCACCUAGGCGACGAUACAUAGCCGACCUGAGAGGGAGAUCGGCCACACUGGGACUGAGACACGGCCCAGACUCCUACGGGAGGCAGCAGUAGGGAAUCUUCGGCAAUGGACGAAAGUCUGACCGAGCAACGCCGCGUGAGUGAAGAAGGUUUUCGGAUCGUAAAGCUCUGUUGUAAGAGAAGAACGGGUGUGAGAGUGGAAAGUUCACACUGUGACGGUAUCUUACCAGAAAGGGACGGCUAACUACGUG